rnacentral:piRNA from 1 species
UGAUUGNGACCUUGAUACAUGACCAGGGA